rnacentral:rRNA from 1 species
GACGGGGGAUGCAAGUGUUAUCCGGAAUCACUGGGCGUAAAGCGUCUGCAGGUGGUUUCCUAAGUCCACUGUUAAACCUUGAGGCUCAACCUCAAAUCUGCAUUGGAAACUAGGAGACUUGAGUAUAGUAGGGGUAGAGGGAAUUUCCAGUGGAGCGGUGAAAUGCGUAGAUAUUGGAAAGAACACCGAUGGCGAAGGCACUCUACUGGGCUAUUACUGACACUCAGAGACGAAAGCGUAGGGGAGCAAAUGGG